UGAACUGCCGAUCUUCUACUCUACCUCCAGAGCCAUAGCCUCCCUGGUUGUGUGUAACACCUUCAGUGUUACAAACAGCAUUUCGGCUAUGGUCCAGAAAACAUCUGAACAAAGCAAAGCACUUCUUCACACCUGUUACCACCUUGGACCAUUGUGGAGGUGGGCGUGGUCGGUGUUCAGCUGCAGAAGAGAAAGUAGCAUGCUGGGCCUCAGAUGACUGCUGCACACCACAAAGACAGACAGGCUGGCUGUUUGGCAAGGGCUGAAACUAUUAUUUGGUGAGACGGAGGGACUCCAGAGACACAACCACAUAAGCUAGAAGAAGCCGGGCAACAGCAGGCGCAUUCUUGGCUUUAUGUUUAAUGUUUAUAUUGAAGUGUGUGCAUGCAGCAGAGAAUA